AAAAAAAUCCAGGGAAAGAAUAUUUAAAGUUAAGGAAAGGGCUGCUUUGCCAACACAACAGAGAAACUACGCCCUCUCGAGUAGUCAUCUCUUCUCACGCGGUGGCUUCCCGGAGCAAACGCUGCACCGCCUGGACUGGGACAGCUGGAGGCAGGAGAUGAGCAGAGCCCUUCCCUCUGAAUGGUCUGGACUGGGGACAACUGGCUGGAAUCAUGGCAAAAGUCCAGGACAAGCCCGGCCACGCAGGCGCAAUGCAAGUCUCUGCUCAAAACACAUCUGAUCACUUUCCACUGGCCAAAGUGAGUGACAAGGCAAAGCCCACGUCAGAGAUAAAUGUCCCACCAGCUUUACCAAGAGGUACUGUAGAGUUACAUGGCAAGCGGUAUGGAACCAGAAUGUUUUCCAAGAACGAAAGCCUCAUCGCAACAGAGACUUUGCUGAUGCAGCUGAAGCGCCUGGAACGGUGUCUGAUGUACGGGUAAGAAUGUCUGAUACAUUCUUAUGCCUGGAUCCAGGCAUGGAGGGAGCCCCCACCAUCGUAAACCCAGUGGACUGUUAUCAGAAGAACAGCAAACUGCCAGCUGGAACAGGACCUCGCCUACCUUCACAAGGGCACUGCUGAUCCCUGACCACAGGAUUUCCUCUGCUCUCACCCUCUCCAGAUUUAACAGUAACUUGGGCAACAAAUUUAAGUGUUACAUAAAAUAACUCUAACCACAAGCCUCAGGUAAUUUACAAUCAAUUCCUCUAGUGUGUGUAAGUAUUCGUGUGUGCGCGUGCGCAUGCGCGCACGCACGUGGUAGGUGGGAGUGAUCGGCGAGGGGGAAAAUGGUAGAAAAGGGGAAGGAGAAGAAGACGUGGGGAUAUAGGCUCAACAAUGGGAAAGCAAAGAGGAUGUUCCCACAGUGAAGACAUAUUCUUUCCCCCAGAGUGAAUGGAUGUUAGGGCGAUUUGCCCAGUUGGGGCUAAAAGAUUCUGAACAGUAAGUGAAGCCUGAUCAUAUAAAUGAAGAUUCAUACUUUGCCAGUUGAUACACGAUGUAAUUUAUGGGCUUAUGUAUUUCUUCCACGAACUUUUACUGUGCCUGCACUUGCCCUCAGCAAGAGUGAGUCAUGCUGAUGUGCUUCCAGCCCUCAUGGAGCUGACAGUGGCAGGUGGAAAUAACAGCGAAGACCUGCAAGAGCAGUCCUGGUCGGGAGGGUGCAGGGUGUUGAGGCUGCCACGGGCUCCCGGCAAAGCAAAAGUACCCCAGGGCUUCUAAAGGAAACUGGGCUUCGAGGAAAGAGAACUCAACAGUUGCCAGUGGAGGUAUGAGAAUGUACUCAGAAAACGAAGGGUCCUGAACCAAGAGAAAGAGGAGCCACAGGGUCCUCGUGAGAACAAUCGAGAAUGAGCAACUGGAAACGGAUAACAGCUCAGAUCAAAGCCACAGCGGGAGGCAGGGCUGCAGGAAGGAAGGAGCUCUUCCUGCGAGAAUCUGGAGCCUGGUGGGGAGGACCAGGAGGAGGGCCAGGUUUUGUGGAGCCCAAAGCAAAAUUCAAUUCUGGGGACUGACUCUCUUUAAAGAAGAAGAAGAAUAUGAAAUUGUAAAUAGAAACUCAGGUUUGAAAGGGAGUACUUAUUUAGAAAGUGGAAUCGCCAGGCAUUACACAUUUUUAGAAGGUGGCAAAUACCUCAGACUUUGCAAAAUCCAGAAAAAUAAAAUAGUGGUCCUCCUUGACGCAUUUCUGUAUUUGUUUUAAUAAUUUUUCUUUUUUGGCUGUAUUUUUUUGGUCAUUCAUUUCUUCAAAUGAAAACGACUUUGUAACAUAAUUCUCUAUAGAGAGAACAGAAAAAUAAUUCAGUCUUUCGUCUGUACGUUUCCGACCUUGUUUCUCCUCCACAAUUCACAGGCUUCCAGUGCCUGGAGGGCGUGUUGUCGGGCAUAUUCUUAUCACGAUAGGAUCUCCGGUCACGCCCCUUUGUGCUAGCACCCCAGUAUUUCCAGGAACAUUGCUGGAAGCCAUUUCAGCACCGAGAAAGCCAGAAAUUGCUUAACUCCAUGAGGAAGUGCCUGUGAACCACAAAAACAUACCCCACUAAAUCCAAAUUAAACUCAACGUUCCCUUAGCUGACUGCCAGCGAUGCCCACGGCCACUCUAACGCCAUGGACUCCAGGGGAAGGCGAACUGCUGCUCUUUCAUGAAUUUCAUUAUCCGCACGACCGUUUGAACAUGGUGUACGGGCCCCUCUCAAGGCCCUGGAAGGUAACCAUGUAAGUGAAGGACUUUGAAUUUGUCAGACCCUGGAGUGGGCCUGGGUAUUCAAGAAACCUCUGAAUAAUGCCUCCAUAUGCAAAACAAACAAAGAACAGAAAACUUAUGUCUAUGAGUCUAUUUCUGUUUUGUAAAUAAUAGAAAACAAACUU